UCGAAAUAAAAAAUUUCCAAUUAAAUUUAAUAAUUAAUAUUACAUUUAAUAAUUCCUUCGGAUAGAAUUGAAUUUUCGAUUAUGUUUAAAAAAUGCAAUUUUUUCGACUAAAACGCCUUUUAGUCGAAAAUCGAUCCGAGGUCUGCAAAUCGCUAUAGGAGAUGAAUUUUUUACUUUACCUCUUUGGAAAGACAAUUUUUCCUAAAUUUAGGAGAUGAAUUUUUUUACUUUACCUCUUUGGAAAGACAAUUUUUCCCAUCCAACGACGGUGCCUAAUUUUCCUUCCCUGACAAUGAAUUCGGCAGGUGGAAGACAUAUCGGUUGUGCUGUCACUAAAAGAAAAGAUUUUAUUUUGGAAGGAAACGAAACUUACUGACGAAACUAACGAGAACGACGAAUGGAUAACUUCCUAAAGUUUCUACAUUGCUUUUAAUUAAAGUCUGCCCACAUUGAAGAUUCCAGACCGGAUAUGGAGAUGAUUCCGGAUCAGAAAUUGCAUCAACGGAACGUGCAAGUGGAUCACAACAUACUUUGAGGCUUGAUUCAGUGUAUCCACAAAUUGAGGAUCGUAAUCUUCAAAAAAAGAAGAAGAAGACGAAUGAAAUGAGCUGCUUCCACGAUUCCGGUGGCUUUGAUAAAAUCAACGGACACAAUAUUUGCAGAUAGUUGCCAUUUUGUGUUGUACCACAUGGUAAUUUUUGCAUCAACUUCUUCUGCCAUUUUUCGAAGUCCUCCCAGUCUGUCGAGAAAAAUGUCCCAAGCCUUGGGAGUCAAUUCUGCCAUCGCGGAUCUUGGAUUCACUUUCAAGGAACUGAAAUAAUUCGUUUUUUUAAUUGAAAUUCUUGCACGUCGAAUAUGACAAUUUCAUCUGUAUUAUCGAGAAAUGUUUUCACGUCUUCAACGACUGUUUGGAAUGGUACAACGGCAACGAGUCCGUGACUUCCCCACCAUUGGAUUUCCUCGGUAGCAUAGUAGCCCACUCGGAUGUCCAGAUAUCGAGCUCCAUAAAUCAGUUGACCAAGAAUAUCCUCAUCCUGAAGGUGCAACGUCAACGAUUCCGGAGUACUUGAUGAAAUCUACAGAGACGAUAUUUGCCGAGUGUUGCCACAUUCCAUUGUACCAGCCAGUAAUUUUCGGAUUAGUAACUUCUGCCAUACGUCGAAUGCCACCAAAAAGAU